GGUCAAGUCGAAAAGGGUGUACGGUGGAUGCCUUGGCACCAGAAGGCGAUGAAGGGCGUGGUUAACUGCGAUAAUCCUUGGGGAGCCGUAAGCAGGCUUUGAUCCAGGGGUGCCCGAAUGGGGAAACCUACCAUAGCAAACCUAUGGUAUCCUUACCUGAACAAAAUAGGGUAAGGAGGCGAGACGGGGGGAACUGAAACAUCUAAUUACCCCCAGGAAGAGAAAGUAAAAACGAUUCCCCAAGUAGCGGUGAGCGAAAAGGGAAGAGCCUAAACGGUAAUGAGCGUGAUAGUCGGUAGACGUUGCUCAUUAUCGGGUCGUGGGACCUGAUAUGAUUCUGCUACCGCAAGAAUCAAAGAGUUAACAAGUCUUUUUCUAGCUGAAAUGACAUUGGAAAAGUCUACCCUAGAUGGUGAUAGUCCAGUAGGCGAAAGAGAAAGACCUCUUCAUCAGGCACCCGAGUAUCAUGGGAUAAGGGAAGCCCUGUGAGAAUUUAGGAGGACCACCUCCUAAGGCUAAAUACUAACUGGUGACCGAUAGUGAACUAGUACCGUGAGGGAAAGGUGAAAAGUACCCCGGAAGGGGAGUGAAAUAGUACCUGAAACCGUAUACCUACAAGCAGUGGGAGCACUAUUUUUUGAAGAUUUAUCUUUUAGAAAGUGUGACCGCGUGCCUUUUGUAAAAUGAGCCGGCGAGUUACUGAUACCUAGCUAGGUUAAGCAGCAGCUGCUGCGGAGCCGUAGCGAAAGCGAGUCUUAAUAGGGCGCUUUUAGUUAGGUGUCGUAGACCCGAAACCGAGUGAUCUAACCAUGGCCAGGGUGAAACAGGUCUGAUCGCCUGUGGAGGCCCGAACCCACUUAUGUUGAAAAAUGAGGGGAUGAGCUGUGGUUAGGGGUGAAAGGCCAAUCAAACUCGGAGAUAGCUGGUUCUCCUCGAAAUAGCUUUAGGGCUAGCCUCAAAUGUUUGCCUAUGGAGGUAGAGCACUGAAUGGACUAAGGGCCCCACCAGGUUACUGAACCCAAUCAAACUCCGAAUGCCAUAGGUUUAUAGUUUGGGAGUCAGACUGCGAGGGAUAAGCUUCGUAGUCAAAAGGGAAACAGCCCAGACCAGCAGCUAAGGUCCCCAAGUGCAAGCUAAGUGUGAAAGGAAGUAGAAUUACCCAGACAGCCAGGAUGUUGGCUCAGAGGCAGCCAUCAUUUAAAAAGUGCGUAACAGCUUACUGGUCAAGUGAUUCUGCACCUAAAAUGUACGGGGCUAAAGUUUGCCACCGAAGCUCUGGGUAUCAGAAAACAGAUACCAGAUGAUAGAAGACAGAUUUUUCUGACUUCUGAAUUCUGACUUCUGAAUUCUGGUACGGUAGAGGAGCGUUCCUUUAUGGGAUGAAGGGUAACCGUAAGGAUGCCUGGACUAAAAGGAAGUGAGAAUGCCGGCAUUAGUAACGAUAAGGAGAGUGAGAAUCUCUCCCGCCGAAAACCUAAGGUUUCCUGGGGAAGGUAAAUCCGCCCAGGGUUAGUCGGAACCUAAGCCGAGGCCGAAAGGCGUAGGUGAUGGACCAGCGGUUAAUAUUCCGCUACUACCAGAUUAUCGCUUUAAGUGAUGGGGGGACGCAGGAAGGCAGGUCAGCACGAUAAAAGUUACGUGUCCAAGCCUGAUAUGGGAAGAGACCGGAAAAUCCGUCUCUUAUUAAAACCCUAAGAGGUGAUAGGGAGCUGCUAUGGCAGCGAACUGAUCGAUCCUACACUGCCGAGAAAAUCCUCUAAACAAGAUAACCUGGUAUCCGUACUAAAACCGACACAGGUAGGUAGGUAGAGAAUACCAAGGCGCUCGAGAUAACCCUCGUUAAGGAACUCGGCAAAAUGACUCCGUAACUUCGGGAGAAGGAGUGCCCCGGUAGGGUGACCCAAUUUACUUGGUCAGCCCGAGGGGGUUGCAAAGAAACGGCCCAAGCGACUGUUUACUAAAAACACAGGUCUCUGCUAAAUCGAAAGAUGAUGUAUAGGGACUGACGCCUGCCCGGUGCUGGAAGGUUAAGGAAGGGGGUUACUCCUCGUUAAGAGGGGGAAGCUCUUGACCGAAGCCCCAGUAAACGGCGGCCGUAACUAUAACGGUCCUAAGGUAGCGAAAUUCCUUGUCGGGUAAGUUCCGACCCGCACGAAUGGCGUAACGAUUUGGGCACUGUCUCAACGAGGGACUCGGUGAAGUUGUAUUGUAAGUGAAGAUGCUUACUACCCGCGACAGGACGGAAAGACCCCGUGAACCUUUACUGUAGCCUGAUAUUGAAUUUUAGCAUAUCCUGUGUAGGAUAGGUGGUAGGCUGUGAAAGAGAGGCGUUAGCCUCUCCGGAGCCUCCCUUGAAAUACCACCCUUGAUAUGUUCGGGUUCUAACCUUUCGCCGUUAUCCGGCAAAGGGACAGUAUUUGGUGGGCAGUUUGACUGGGGCGGUCACCUCCUAAAGAGUAACGGAGGUGUCCCAAGGUCUCCUCAGUGUGGUUGGAAAUCACACCUAAGAGUGUAAGGGCAUAAGGAGGCUUAACUGCGAGAGAGACAUCUCGAGCAGAUGCGAAAGCAGGGCCUAGUGAUCCGGCGGUAACUAGUGGAUGUGCCGUCGCUUAACGGAUAAAAGGUACUCCGGGGAUAACAGGCUUAUCUCCCCCAAGAGUCCAUAUCGACGGGGAGGUUUGGCACCUCGAUGUCGGCUCGUCGCAUCCUGGGGCUGAAGCAGGUCCCAAGGGUUUGGCUGUUCGCCAAUUAAAGCGGUACGCGAGCUGGGUUUAG
rnacentral:rRNA from 1 species